AGAGUUUGAUCCUGGCUCAGAACGAACGCUGGCGGCAGGCCUAACACAUGCAAGUCGAGCGCCCCGCAAGGGGAGCGGCGCACGGGAGAGUAACGCGUGGGAACCUACCUUUUGGUCUGGAAUAACAUCGGGAAACUGGUGCUAAUACCGGAUACGUCCUUCGGGAGAAAGAUUUAUUGCCAAAAGAUGGGCCCGCGUUGGAUUAGCUAGUUGGUGAGGUAAAAGCUCACCAAGGCAACGAUCCAUAGCUGGUCUGAGAGGAUGAUCAGCCUCACUGGGACUGAGACACGGCCCAGACUCCUACGGGAGGCAGCAGUGGGGAAUAUUGGACAAUGGGGGAAACCCUGAUCCAGCCAUGCCGCGUGAAUGAUGAAGGCCUUCGGGUUGUAAAGCUCUUUUGACAGGGACGAUGAUGACGGUACCUGUAGAAUAAGCUCCGGCUAACUUCGUGCCAGCAGCCGCGGUAAUACGAAGGGAGCUAGCGUUGUUCGGAAUUACUGGGCGUAAAGGGCGCGUAGGCGGUUUAACAAGUUGGGUGUGAAAGCCCAGGGCUCAACCCUGGAAUUGCACUCAAAACUGUUUUACUUGAAUUCGGUAGAGGUUGGUAGAAUUCCCAGUGUAGAGGUGAAAUUCGUAGAUAUUGGGAAGAACACCGGUGGCGAAGGCGGCUCACUGGCCCGUUUCUGACGCUGUAGCGCGAAAGCGUGGGGAUCAAACAGGAUUAGAUACCCUGGUAGUCCGCGCUGUAAACGAUGAGUGCUAGGCGUCGGCAGGCUUGCCUGUCGGUGCCGCAGCUAACG
rnacentral:rRNA from 1 species